UUAUUCUUCGUCGCUACAGCUAAGAUGAAGGGAAUUACUUUAAUAGUUUUGUGCACAAUCCUUGUGUUGUCAUCAUUGAUAAAUGUAACAUAUGCGAUCAACUUAGUAAAUCUUAACUUCCCGUCAAAAAAAAAUUACCCAUCAGAGACAACAUUACAGUGUCGAGAUGGGUAUCAUAUCGUGGUUAGAAAGGGUAUUUUAUAUUAUAAUAACGGCAUGACGAACGAAAAAGCGUGGUAUGCGCCAAAGAUGGCGUGUGAUUUUGAAAAAACAUGCAGAUUUAAACUUGUGGAAGAACAAUAUAAUUAUUUGAAUUUAAACCCGAGAGGAAACUUACAACUUACUAUUCAAUACGAUUGUAAACAAAAUAACUAUCAAGGAACUCCAAGAAGGAUAAAACAGUAUGGACAAAUCGGAGACUGUCCGCAUGACUCUUUUGUUCAGAAACACGUUGCUUAUUUUAACGAUAAUAAUAUCGCCUCUGAUUCGCAAACGGCACAAAUGGAAAGGGAAGUUAUUGCCAUGAGCGUCUGUGGUCAAGUCAGACGUUUUAGGGUUCGCAAUCCAAAUGCCCCACUCGAUCCAAGUUAUUACACAGUGUAUUUGAUACAUGAAAAAAAUCAACUCAACAAUAAUUUCGUGCCAAGUGAAGAGAAAUGUCAACUAACGGGAAAUGCUCUUGCCCGUUCAUUUAAGUAUCAGUGUAGAAGAGAAGCCAAUAAAUGGACAUGUAAUUUCGAAAGCAAGGGAGAGGAUCUGGCUAGACAUUACAAAAGUAAUGGCCAUAUAGACUUGUAACCCAACUCAAACCAAAACCGUAACCGUAACCGAAAUCGGAAUUUCUCCUAGAUGCUUUGAUUGGAAAGUGAACACAUUACGAAACACAACACAGUGUACUACAGUUUCAAGAAAUUGUUUUAUUAAAAACAUAUUCGCAAUUUAAUAUUACACAUAUACAAAGAAAAUAAAAAUUCUUAAAUUGACUUUUUUUCCGCUUAAUAUAUCAAUAAAUGUUAUUUCACUUUUUUGCAUAUUUUA